UACGUAGGGGGCAAGCGUUGUUCGGAUUUACUGGGCGUAAAGAGCGUGUAGGCGGCCAUACAGGUCCGUUGUGAAAACUGGAGGCUCAACCUUCAGACGUCGACGGAAACUGUCUGGCUAGAGUCCGGAAGAGGAGAGUGGAAUUCCUGGUGUAGCGGUGAAAUGCGCAGAUAUCAGGAGGAACACCAAUGGCGAAGGCAGCUCACUGGGACGGUAUUGACGCUGAGACGCGAAAGCGUGGGGAGCAAACAGG
rnacentral:rRNA from 1 species